rnacentral:rRNA from 1 species
AUUGAACGCUGGCGGCAUGCCUUACGCAUGCAAGUCGAACGGUAGAGGAGCAAUCCUCGAGAGUGGCGAACGGGUGAGUAAUGCAUCGGAACGUGCCCAGUAAUGGGGGAUAGCCCGGCGAAAGCCGGAUUAAUACCGCAUACGACCUAAGGGUGAAAGAGGGGGAUCGCAAGACCUCUCGUUAUUGGAGCGGCCGAUGUCAGAUUAGGUAGUUGGUGGGGUAAAGGCCUACCAAGCCAACGAUCUGUAGCUGGUCUGAGAGGACGACCAGCCACACUGGGACUGAGACCCGGCCCAGACUCCUACGGGAGGCAGCAGUGGGGAAUUUUGGACAAUGGGCGCAAGCCUGAUCCAGCCAUGCCGCGUGCGGGAAGAAGGCCUUCGGGUUGUAAACCGCUUUUGUCAGGGAAGAAAUCUUCUGGGUUAAUACCUCGGGAGGAUGACAGUACCUGAAGAAUAAGCACCGGCUAACUACGUGCCAGCCGCCGCCGUAA